rnacentral:lncRNA from 1 species
GGCUUCCAUCAGAGUAGACACUGAACGUUUUCAUCCAACCGGAUGAUGAGUGCAUUAGAACUACAUAAGAGAUGAAAUCCUUUCUCCCUGGGACAUAGAAAAAUAAUCCACAUCUUCACAACAACAGCUGUUCCUCUAUAGCCUCCCAUGAGACCGGAACCAUCACGACUGCGCUGCUGCUUAUGAUUUGCUUCGUUGUAUUUAAUGUGAGCAACUCGUGCCACAGCAUUUACCUAAGUACGGUGAAGAAAAGGGAUCAGUUGUGGACCAUCUCAGAUUUGAUUUCCUCAUGUUACCCCAUUUUUUGGUCCAUUUUUGCUCAUUGGUAGAGAAAGUCUUAUCCUGAAUUCAAAAUCUAUGAAGUAGAGAAAGUCGUCUUAUCCCAUAGAUAUGUCAAAGUAAACUUUCACCAAUAUAAACUUUUUCCAAAACAACAUU